UUUCGCUCGGGUCGAAGGCUGUGUGAAAAUGAUAUUUUUUACCUUUUUCUGAGAAAUAGAGAACUGUUUUUGUGUGAAAAAUGGCUGAAGACGAAGUGCUCUUUGACGACGUGUACGAACUAUGUGAAAUUAUUGGCAAGGGGCCAUUCAGCCUUGUCCGUCGCUGUGUGCACCGGCAGACAUCCCAGCAGUUUGCGGUGAAGAUUGUUGAUGUGGCUCGCUUCACCGCCAGUCCAGGACUUAGUACUGCAGAUUUGAAGCGUGAGGCAACAAUAUGCCAUAUGCUGAAGCACCCUCACAUUGUGGAGCUGCUCGAGACCUACAGCUCCGAGGGCAUGCUCUACAUGGUCUUUGAAUACAUGGAUGGAUCAGAUUUGUGCUUUGAAGUGGUUCGUAGAGCCACAGCCGGAUUUGUCUACAGUGAGGGUGUGGCAUGCCACUACAUGCGUCAGAUACUGGAAGCUCUCCGCUACUGCCAUGAGAAUGACAUCGUGCACCGAGAUGUGAGGCCCCACUGUGUGCUAUUGGCUGGACGAGACAACUGUGCCCCGGUCAAACUUGGGGGCUUUGGGGUAGCGGCUCAGUUGCCUACUCCCACUGCUCAUCGGGCACCACCCGAACUGGUGAUGGACAAUCGACCUCUCAUGGGCCCUAUGGGUCAAGCGUAUCUCAAAUCUGACGAGUAUGGUCGCAUUGGCACUCCGCACUAUAUGGCACCGGAGGUGGUUUCAAGCCAGUUGUAUGGCAAGCCAGUUGACGUUUGGGCGGCUGGCAUUCUACUACAUGUGCUACUGGUUGGAUACUUGCCAUUUACUGGCACUCGGGAGAGACUGUUUGAAGCCAUCUGCCGAGGACGACUCAGAUUUGACGCGCCAAUGUGGGAUGAUAUCAGCGACGCAGCCAAGGAUCUGGUGCAACGAAUGCUCACCGUAGACCACACCCAGCGCAUCACUAUACAAGAUGUGCUCAACCAUCGGUGGAUAAGGGACCGCGACAAGCAAAGCCGCAUCCACUUAGCCAGUACGGUGGAGGAACUGAAGAAGUUCAACAGUCGCCGACGGCUCCGCGCCGCGACCCUCGCUGCGGCCGCUGCGGAUGACGAGGAGGAAGACGACCAGAAGCCGCCCAGGAUCCAGGCUAUGAUUGAGGAGGCCAAUGCUGCAGCUGUGAACCUGGUGGUGGAAUCUCUAGAUGACGUGUCUGUGUUGCAAGAUGGGCCCACAUUCAUCGACCCAGACUUGUUCCACAGUGUACUCGACGAUCUGCAGUUACGAGCUCUUUUGGAAGUGUACGACCGCAUCGCUUGCACCGUGGUGGUGGCGAGUGCCCGUGCGCCGGCCGCCGAGGCGCGUGCGCGCUGCCGCCUGGCGCUGGAGGCGGCGCGGCCACGCGGCGCUGCGCCCGCGCCCGCCGCUGCAUCGCCUGCCGUCGCCACGCAUAUACACGAGCUGCGCCGCGCGCUCGCCGGACCGCACGUCAAGGCCCUACUACAGGCUCACGAUGUGGUCGCCAGAGAGGUGUACGGCGAGGAGUCUCUCCGCGCGUCCCCUCCCCCGGUCAACGGGAGGACGCCGGCGCCGCAGCCCGACGACGAGGAAGACACCGAGCCCGAGUUCGAGAACGUGACAAGGGUGCGCCUCGUGCAGUUCCAGAAGAAUACUGACGAGCCCAUGGGCAUCACCCUCAAACUUGCGGACGACGGGCGCUGCAUUGUCGCACGUAUCAUGCAUGGAGGCAUGAUCCACCGACAGGCUACGCUGCAUGUCGGAGACGAGAUUCGAGAGAUCAAUGGAACUCCAGUCGCUAACCAGUCAGUGGCGCAGCUCCAACGGAUGCUGCGGGAGGCCCGUGGAUCGGUGACAUUCAAGAUUGUGCCAUCGUACCGAUCAGCUCCUCCACCCUGCGAGCUUUUCCGGAUAAAGCCUUCGCCCGUGCUAAUCUUCGUAAGAGCACAAUUUGACUACGAUCCGUUAGAAGACGAAUUGAUUCCGUGUGCUCAAGCCGGAAUCGCCUUCAACACAGGAGAUAUUCUACAGAUCAUCAGCAAAGAUGACUCACAUUGGUGGCAGGCCCGUAAAGAUGCAGCAGGAGGAUCUGCUGGUCUCAUUCCAAGCCCAGAACUUCAGGAGUGGAGAGCCGCUUGCGCCGCUGCUGAACGAUCGACUACAGACCAAGUCAACUGUUCUAUAUUCGGACGCAAGAAGAAGCAGUCCAAAGACAAAUAUUUGGCGAAACACAACGCGGUAUUCGACCAACUGGACGUCGUGACAUACGAAGAAGUUGUCAAGUUACCUUCAUUCCAAAGAAAGACAAUAGUACUGUUGGGUGCACACGGCGUUGGUCGUCGUCAUAUAAAGAACACGCUCAUCGCUCGUCACCCAGACUUAUACGCAUACCCUAUACCACAUACCACUCGACCUCCAAGGCCCGAUGAAGAGAAUGGCAGAAGCUACUAUUUUGUGUCUCACGAAGAAAUGAUGGCUGAUAUUGGUGCCAAUGAAUAUUUGGAAUAUGGAACGCACGAAGAUGCAAUGUACGGAACGAAGCUGGAAACUAUCCGACGUAUCCACGGAGAGCGUCGUAUCGCCAUCUUGGACGUGGAACCUCAGGCUCUGAAGAUACUGCGGACAGCCGAGUUUGCGCCGUACGUCGUCUUCAUCGCCGCUCCUCCACUCAAUAAUGUUGCUGAUUACGACGGCUCUUUAGAAGUGCUGGUCCGCGAAUCUGAGCAACUCCGACGCACAUAUGGCCAUUACUUCGACCUGACGAUCGUCAACAACGAUAUCGAAGAUACUUUAGGCCAACUGGAAACGGCCUUGGUACGACUUCGCUCCACUCCGCAAUGGGUGCCCGUGUCCUGGGUCUAUUGACAAACUGAUUUUUACCUGUAAAGUAAUUUAAUACCAUCGUCAAAUUGUUGAAUGUCACUUAUUGUUCGAAACUAACUCUGUGUUGCCAUGUACUCUGGAUUGCGAGUGUGUUGGUGAAUUUUGCACAAAGGUACAAAUUAUCAAUGGUGUACAUGAUAUUGUACAUGUAUACAAUGCUGAAUAGUGUGACUGUAAGUGUGGGUGUGGAACUUUAUCAUACACAAUAAGUGACUUUUAAGAGUUUGAUGGUUUUACUCUGCUAAUUUGUCGGAAAAGAGCGUAGUAAACUUCGCGUUGGUACCUAUACUUAAAUUACCUACAUUGAAUCCUUUAAGAAACUCUAACGAAAUUGACACUUUUUCAUCAACUUCGGCGCAAUCUCAUCGACUAUCUACGAAAUGUGUAAUGUGAGUGACGGAUUUAGGGUGGUAUUAAUAAACUAAUAUCAGCUUCGAGACUGCCCUCAAGAUCAUGUCAAUGUGACAUUCUUAUAUAAAAACAGGGACUUGAGCAUGAUCUUGAGGGCAGUCUCAGCUGAGAUUAGUUUAUUAAUACCACCCUAAGAGUUGAUUUUAGACAAGAUAAGAUAAACAAUGGACAGAUGAGAUCUGUUCGACGUGGAAGAAGGUUGUUGUUCCAAAAUGACCCUAGUUGACAUUGUUCGUGAUCGGAUGGUUAUGUAAAGCAGGAUGUGCUUGACAAUGAAAGACAUUCGUGUGAAUGUUUGCACAUUUGAAUGUGUGCUAAUAUUUUCUCGAAAUAUUCUUUCUGAAACAAGUCAAAGAUGAAAUCUAUUGAGGAAGUUGAAAACGUUAGUUUGACAUUCACAGCUUGAGUGCUUUUUUGGGAGAGUAGUCUCUAAAAAAUCACCAUUAAAUCUUCUUCCUUUUUCUUCACAAUAAUUCACUUUAAAUGUUUCAAUUUUGUCUUAUUCCCACUUUAAAGAAUAUUUAAAUUUAAAGAAAAUAUAACAACGUAGUGCACCAUAAAAUUCCGUUCCUGGUCACACUGUACCUACAAAAAAUAAGAUAAUCGAAAAAAAAUAUGGUUUUGUUUAAAAUAUUAAAAAUCGUUACGUAUUAAAAUAGUACAAAUAUUUUAAAAGACAUAAGUACGUUACUUCUGUUACUUUAUGAAAACUAGUAAUAAUUAAAUUGUUAUGUUGCAUAUUUAUAUUAUUUUAACUUUAAAAGUAAUAUUUAUAAAAGCUGUCAAACAACUUCUUUAAAUUAAGGCAUCGGAAAAGUCUACAAUAAUGAUAUAAUUGUUUGGUGCAAAAGCUCAAUUUCACUAUGUGCCAAAUAUGUAAGAAAGAACUAAAUUAAUAAAAUAUAUCGAAUUAGACUUGCGCACGAUACGUUCACGAGACUUUUGGAACAAUGUACAUAAUUAUAUUAGUAAUUAAAUUUAAAAAGCAACUAAUUCUCUAGAACUAUACCGUAGUCAAAAUGUUUACUUCAAAAUUUAAAUCUAAGAUCUCUACUACUAGGUUACUGUUAUGAAUUUAAAUCUUGUCGUUAUACAACUACGUGAAGGCAUUGUUAGUUCCUACACUUUUUCUUUACUUUAGAAAAAGGCAAAGGCACGAAGGCGUAGUGCCACAUUUUGAUGCGUAGGUAAUUGGAAUUUGCUGUUUUUUAGAGUUCCGAAUCUCAAAAGGAAAAAUAGUUCCGCCUUAUACGAUCACUUUGUUUUUAUUUUAUUUCGGUACUUACCGCGCUUUCAUCAUGCGGUAAGGGGUAAGGGGUGGGUAAUCAUUGGUGGUAGGACUUGUGCCAAGUCCGUCUGGGUAAGUACCACCCUCAUACCUAUUUCUACCGUGAAACGGCUAUCCUUGCUGUAUUUCGGUCUGAAGGGUACGAGAGCCAGGGUCAUUACUGGGCACACGAGACGUUCAAUCUCUUCUCAAUCGUCGUAUCUGUGAUCAAGGGGACACAGGUAUGAUUGUGUAUUGGGUAACAGUGUGCUCUUACCACAAGAGGCAUUGUUUACCCGCCAUUUUAUUUUCAGUCAAUAAUUUCAAAUUUCGAACUUAUAUCAAUUUAAUUUUCGAACGAAUACCUUUCCAUGAUUUGUUAUUGUUAUUAUUUGUUGUGAUAAAUUAAAUUUAUAAUUUAUUUCAAUUAUUUAUUUAACAGUGAUUUAUGUCCUUACGAUUAGUUCCAGUGCCUUCCGUAGUUGUAAAACCGUCUAUUGACUAUAUCACAGGAUUAGAAAUCACAGGGUUGCAUGGAUCAGACUUAGUAAUUUUAAUUGUGGAUAAUUUCACUUCAAUUCUGUAUGCUUUCAUUCUCUAAAAUUUUCGAUGUCUUUUUAUGGAUUUAUUUCGACGUUCGGUGCCAUGGAGUUCUCUAAAUCACUUUUUUUAAAUCUGCUGUUAUUUUUUCGUGGCUGAGCAUGAUAUUGGUUUGCAAGACAAAGCAGUGGCAUAUGCGUGAAGCUGAGAUGGUUAAGUUUUCACCGGGUACUUGCCCAUCUCUAGAUAGAUGUGUGGUGGUGUGGUAUUGUUUUGCAAUGUCUUAAUAUCGGCUCAAGUUACUCUUCCUUUUCAAAUGUGUGAAUGGCCAGUAAUUCACAUAUCAUUCUAAACAUCAUUACAUUGUUUUUUUAUGUUAUGGAAAGCCGUCAAGAAUUCGGAAUGUUUAUGGCAAUAUCUGGAUAUGUCAAUGAAGCAAGCAGAAGCCCAAGCUUCUCUUAGGAAUUUUUUAACGACUAUUCGUAACAUAUAUUUCUUCAUGGCACCAUAAAUAAUUUCCAUUUAUAUUUUUUCUAUAUUUUUACUAUUAAGUAUACUUGUUAGUUUUACUUCAAUGAGGUAGUUUCAAUAAAACGAGCGUCAUUAAACACUGGCAACGAUUGAAAAUUCGCAGGUUUCAAUCGUUACAGUUGAACCUGCAAUCGUUGGACACCAAAAACAAUAAACAUCUAUUUGACCCAAAAUUCAUCGAAAUUCCGUUACCUCGUUGAAGUAGACGAUUUUACAGUAAUUCACACGCCUGCACUAAAGCAUUCCUGUACAUAAAUUUAAUUAUAAAGUAGCAAAAUUUUACUAUAUAACUCUCACAUUUCUCUAUUUUUAAUUUAAAUUAUGUCUAGGCUAAAUUAAUAUUUCGUAAGUGUUCAAAACGCUGUGGUUUUUCAUCUUUAUGUAAUGUUGUUAUUGAUAAUCUUUAUUCUACAUCUGGAGUUAUUAUUAGUUAUAACUGUAUGUCAUUUCUGGAAUGUUACUUCUUGAAGGCCAUCACAUCUGCCGAAAUCGAGAUUCCACGCGUAUUAUGAAAUUACAAAAUAGUACUUACCUACUGAGUUCAUUACUGAGUUAUUAAGUAAUAUUCGAUUCCAUAAAGUUCGCCGCAUUUUCUUAUUACACACAAUUUCAUUUCAUUUUUUUUAAUUUCUGUCAUGUACUUAAAAAUGUUUGGGGUUUUCUACCUUAAUUGUUUACUUUUUUAAUCCUUGAAUGUCACGCUUAUUUGUAAUUUCAUAAAACUUUUCUAAUACCUUACGUAAUAUUUUCUCAAAAUUUUUAGUUAAUUUUCGUAAUUUAUUUUCACGGAGGCGUCACUUACUUUUUCAUUCGCGUUGUUGUUUUAUGUACCUUUUCAAAUGUUGAUUGUUUUACCUCUUGAAAUGUAGAUGUAAGGUCAAUAGUGAAUUAAUGUAGUUAAAAUAUCUUUAAUUAGUACAAGGUUCAGGUCGAGGUUGGUUGGCAAUCGCUAAGGGCAGUGGCAAGCACUAGUGUGUUUUGUUGAAAGAGAUAUCAGUGUUGUAAUUUUUAAAUGUUUAUAAGUUUCAUAAGUACCGUUUUGUUAUGUGAUAAAAUUAUUUUGCUAUCAAUAAGGGUGUUAUUGUAGGUGUCUACACAUUUUUUUAAAUUAGUUGCUUAAUAAUUUAAAAAAAAUAUGUGACAUCAUUUACAACGUGCAAUAAAGUAAAUUUCUGAAUCUCAACAAGUUAUUAUUCACUAAGAUCUUCUGUUAUGGUUUAAUGGCUUGUUUAAGAUUAUGAAUUUACCGAACCCUUUACUCUGUAAACAGUUUUGAUGUUGUGUCAAAUCUAGUAAGAUUCAUUUGUGUCGCAUUUGUUUAAACAUCAAACAUUUAUAUUCCUACUACAUUUUGAAAUUUACCUUCUUCUUUACGGGAUUUUCUUAAGGGAGUUAGUCAAAACAAACAAUUGUCUCCUAAGGAACCAUAUAAUUUGUUUUAAACAUAGUUGGUUGGUACAAAUUAUAUGGUGAAUUCGUCGUCAAUGGUUUGAUUUGAUUGAAACGUUGACCUUGUGUUUUAUUCACCUUUCAAGCUGUCAGGUUUUGUAAUGUAAUAUUUUUCAAACUACUUACUACCUAUAACCGAAUAUUUUUUUAUAUAUAAUAUAUAGCUCUUGUAUAAGUUUUCACGACAAAUGUGUAAGUCAAUUCUGACUAAUAUUGCCCCAAAUGAAUCAUGUCAGCAUUUAGUUAAGUAAUAUUAUGAUAAUAAGGCACAGCGGAGUAAGUAACUAGGUAUGACUUAUUUGGGGCCACCAGUCCGUGUUGAUUUACAUACUAAUUUUGAGAGAAAAUUUAUACUAUUUCGUCUUUUUUGUUACACUACCAAGUAAAUUACAAUCAUACCUAUUAAAGAAGUUUCUUUUUUGUAAAUAUUGGCACAUACCUAAUUAUUUCUGUCAUCUAAAUCUUCUUAAAUGCAACUUGUAUCUUGCAAUUCACUCGUAAUUAUUGUAAUAUUGGCUCAAUAUUUAUAAUUUCUACCCAAAAUUAUUUUUUUUAUAAUAUAAUGCUUUUUAAACUAUCUUGAAUCGCGCAGUUUUUACUAAAUUAAAAAUAAAAACAUUUUAUUUAAAAUAUUGGCUCAAAUUAUUUUAAAAAACUUGUAAUCGAAACAUAGAGUAUUAUAUUUUCCGCAAAUGGAGCAAUGAGUUGAGUAAACCGGUGCUACACUGCUUCACUUCGGAUAAACGUCUGUCUUUAUUUGCAAUUUUUUGCAUUAUUAUAAAGCCAGUUUUAAUAAUUUAUAAAUUACAGCAAUCUAUAAAUUCACAUAAUUUAACUGGGAAUUAUGUGAAUACCUCUUCGGAUGAUUGAGUAAUUAUUUUGUCUGUUUUUUUUAUGAGAAAUUAAUCAAAUGUAAUGAAUAAUUUGUCAUAAAAAACGCGACUGCUUCAACUUAUAAAUUGAUAUAAAACUAGAAUAUUCCCAGAAGAAACAUUCAGGAGGCCAGUGAUGAAAUGUUUCUUUUGGGUCAAACUGUCUAUAAUAAUUUAUAAAUUGAGGGUUUUUUCUUCUAAUAUAAUAUAUAUCUAAAAUCAUUACAAUACUGGCAGUAAGAUGUGGCUGGCUAAAAUAAUUUUUAAUUUUUUAAUCAAGUUGUAAAUAAAACUCUGUGAAUCGAAAUGGAUCUUACUGCGAACUUUUAGUCUGUUCUGAUUCACAAGUUUUAUCUAGCCUGUAUUUUUGAAAUUACCUAUUUUAUUUUAUAUUUCACAAAAACAAUAUAUAGCGACACAAAUGAUUCUUCUUGGAAUUUUAAUUUCACAAUAUUAUACCUGUAUUUUUCCGUUACUAAUAUUUAGGUGUAUUUAUUUCCAAUAAAUUCAUAAUUUAAAAAACUAUGUUAGUCAAAACAGAUUCAAUACCGUCAAAGUAAACAUCGCGAACGACAACCGAGUACGACUGAGCACCUUUGGCGCAAACCCUUUGUUUUGAGUAACAAGUUUGGCGACUUAAUAAUGUUUUGUAUAAGAUAUGUCUCUCUGAACGGUAUUUCGCGGUGUAGCCCUAUAAAUCGAAGCAAGUCGUUGGUAUUCGUAUACCCUAAGAGGGCUAUUCACGUGAACUGAUAAAGACCUUCACAGUCAUGUGAAUAUUUCUUUUAGAAGGUUUGCUUAGGUCUAUAGGUUUAUAACGUACAGAAACGUUGAGUGGUGUGUCUGUCCAAAUUGUUAUUAAGUAAGUACCUAAUAAAAAAAUAAAUUGUGAAAUAUGCCAUCAUAAUAAUGAUCAUACGGCAUAGACAAUGAAAUAUAGAAACAAAAGAUUCUUUUAAAAGUAUUUAUUAGAACAAUAAAACUAUUCAUCGUUUAAAUUGUAUGGUUAAAACUUUGCUUGUUAAAUUUUGCAAUCCUAUAAUCGAGUUAGCGUUAUAAUAUUUAUAAUAAUUGUAUUUUCUUUUCCUGUAUGUUAGUGCUGCUCCUUUACGGAUGAGUGUUUGAGAGUCUAUGAUAAAUAAUAAGUAAUUAUAUGUAAUUAUUAAAAUAUUCUGAGAGUAUUUUUAAUGUUGUAAGCAUCACAAAAUUUAAACGCCUUUCCCAUAACAUUCCAUUUGUUUCUUAUUUGUUAUUCAAUUUAUUAUUUUUCAUUUUUGACUAAGCCUGUGGUUGGGCUAGUCUCUUUGUAAUAUCAGUUUCUUUUAUCUGAAAAAUAUAAUUUUAAUUUUAUUUAUUUACAAUUUAUUGUUGUUUUAAAUAUUAUUAAAAAAGUCUAGGCUUUGUUAAAAUUAAUUAAUAAUGUGAUUUUAGUUUUAGUGGCUCCUUAUGUGAUUUUAUAUUUAAUCCUAAUUUGUAAUCUAAUUUAGGUCGUCUUUAUUGUACUUAUUUUAAUUAAAUCCAUUAUUUUCCUGUGAUGUUAUGUUCAAGCUAAUCGAUAUAUUUCACCGCAUUAUAGAAAAAUAAAAUAACAAUGAAAUACGUAGAAAAAAAUACCUACAUACAAAAAUAACUAUUUAAUGUAUCGAAGUUUAAAUGUAAAAUCACAUGAAAUUGAACGAAUCUUAACCAUAGCGGAAUGUAAUAAUUAAACCUAUUAAUUUUAAAUGUUCAGUGCAAGUUGUUGAUGCUUAAAAACUUCCCUUUUUAAAUCUUACUCAAUUUUUUUUUAUUACAUAAGUACCUAGUAUUUUUAAUUGAAAUGAUUGGUAGAUUAUGCGCGUACAGGCUAUUUUUUUUGUGCGUGGUCCGUUAAUUUGUACCGGACGCGCGCACAAAUAAAAUAAAAUAUUGCCUGAAUUGUCUCUCGUUGCAUACGAAGUUAUGGCAACACCUACCGUAAAGAAGUAAAAAUGGAUUACAUAAUUUAUUUCACGAAAUUGUAAUAUUUAUAAUCUAAUUUACUGUUCAUUCCUUAGUUUAUUGUACAUGUAACAACUUGUAGUGAACGUAAUAUAUUAUAGGUGAAUAAAUUGUCACGAAAUGUACUCGUAUCAGUGAAUUGGGAAAGAUAGUAAUUUUAAUGUCACUGUGGGUUUAUCGAGAACAACUUAAGAUGACUGAAGUAAAAUCUUAUUAUAACUGUUAAAAUUGAAUAAACCGCACAAAAUAA
rnacentral:misc_RNA from 1 species